GGAGUUAGCCGGUGCUUCUUCUGCGAGUAACGUCACAGAUGUAAGGUAUUAACUUACACCCUUUCCUCCUCGCUGAAAGUGCUUUACAACCCGAAGGCCUUCUUCACACACGCGGCAUGGCUGCAUCAGGGUUUCCCCCAUUGUGCAAUAUUCCCCACUGCUGCCUCCCGUAGGAGUCUGGGCCGUGUCUCAGUCCCAGUGUGGCUGAUCAUCCUCUCAGACCAGCUAGGGAUCGUCGCCUAGGUGAGCCUUUACCUCACCUACUAGCUAAUCCCACCUGGGCUUAUCCAUCAGCGCAAGGCCCGAAGGUCCCCUGCUUUCCCCCGUAGGGCGUAUGCGGUAUUAGCAGUCGUUUCCAACUGUUAUCCCCCACAAAUGGGCAAAUUCCCAGGCAUUACUCACCCGUCCGCCGCUCGUCAUCUUCAAAAGCAAGCUUUUGAAAUGUUACCUCUCGACUUGCAUGUGUUAGGCCUGCCGCCAGCGUUCAAUCUGAGCCAUGAUCAAACUCUGA
rnacentral:rRNA from 1 species